GGGUGAGUAACGCGUUGGUGACCUACCCCAAAGUGUGGGAUAACAGUCCGAAAGGAUUGCUAAUACCACAUGUGGUCUCCGGGUUUAGAAACCGGUGACUAAAGGAGCAAUUCGCUUUGGGAGGGACCUGCGUCCCAUCAGCUAGUUGGUGAGGUAAUGGCUCACCAAGGCGACGACGGGUAGGGGACCUGAGAGGGUGGCCCCCCACAAUGGAACUGAAACACGGUCCAUACACCUACGGGUGGCAGCAGUAGGGAAUAUUGGUCAAUGGGCGAAAGCCUGAACCAGCAACGCCGCGUGUGCGAUGAAGGCCUUCGGGUCGUAAAGCACUUUUCUGGGAGAUGAGAAAGGACAGUAUCCCAGGAAUAAGUCUCGGCUAACUACGUGCCAGCAGCCGCGGUAAAACGUAGGAGGCGAGCGUUAUCCGGAUUCACUGGGCGUAAAGCGCGUGCAGGUGGCUUGGUAAGUUAGGCGUGAAAUCUCCCGGCUCAACUGGGAGAGGUCGUCUAAUACUACCGGGCUUGAGAGCAGAAGAGGAAGAUGGAAUUCCCGGUGUAGUGGUGAAAUGCGUAGAUAUCGGGAGGAACACCAGUGGCGAAGGCGAUCUUCUGGUCUGUUUCUGACACUCAGACGCGACAGCUAGGGUAGUAAACGGGAUUAGAGACCCCGGUAAUCCUAGCCGUAAACGAUGUAAACUUGGCGUUGGUGGGUUAAACUCCAUCAGUGCCGCAGCAAACGC
rnacentral:rRNA from 1 species